CCUACGGGAGGCUGUAGUGGGGAAUCUUGCACAAUGGGGGAAACCCUGAUGCAGCGACGCCGCGUGAGCGAUGAAGCCCUUCGGGGUGUAAAGCUCUUUCGGCAGGAACGAUAAUGACGGUACCUGCAGAAGAAGCUGCGGCUAACUACGUGCCAGCAGCCGCGGUAAUACGUAGGAGGCAAACGUUAUCCGGAUUUACUGGGCGUAAAGCGCGUGUAGGUGGUUCUGUAAGUAGGGCGUGAAAGCUCCUGGCUCAACUGGGAGAGGCCGUUCUAAACUGCAGAGCUAGAGGAUGGUAGAGGGAGGUGGAAUUCCGGGUGUAGCGGUGGAAUGCGCAGAUAUCCGGAGGAACACCAGUGGCGAAAGCGGCCUCCUGGACCAUUCCUGACACUCAGACGCGAAAGCUAGGGUAGCAAACG
rnacentral:rRNA from 1 species